rnacentral:lncRNA from 1 species
CAGUUUUUCAGCUAAUGCUGAUCCUCUGGCCCUACUCCUUAGAAAUAAGUGGACAAGGUUGUCCCUAUAAUUUACAAAUACAUUUUUCAGACCAGUGAUGAACUGUCUUAAAGAAGAAAUCAAGCUGAAAAAUACUUGCGCAAGACUAAAAACAGAUGAUUUUUGAUCACAAGACUAGUAUGGUACAGCUCUACGUUCCCACCCAUUCAAGUCAAAGAUGAC